rnacentral:rRNA from 1 species
AUUGAACGCUGGCGGCAGGCCUAACACAUGCAAGUCGAACGAGUGGCGGACGGGUGAGUAAUUUCUGGAAACCUGCCGGUUGGAGGGGAAUAACUACUGGAACCGGUGGCUAAUACCGCAUACACUCGAAUGUGCCAAAAUGGGCGUAGCUUGUUGGUGGGGUAACGGCUCACCAAGGCGACGAUCCCUAGCUGGUCUGAGAGGAUGACCAGCCACACUGGAACUGAGACACGGCCCAGACUCCUACGGGAGGCAGCAGUGGGGAAUUUUGGACAAUGGGGGAAACCCUGAUCCAGCCAUCCCGCGUGUAUGAUGAAGGCCUUCGGGUUGUAAAGUACUUUUGGCAGAGAAGCGGUAUCUGCAGAAUAAGCACCGGCUAACUACGUGCCAGCAGCCGCGGUAAUUC